GUAGGUGGCAAGCGUUGUCCGGAAUUAUUGGGCGUAAAGCGCGCGCAGGCGGUCCUUUAAGUCUGAUGUGAAAGCCCACGGCUCAACCGUGGAGGGUCAUUGGAAACUGGGGACUUGAGUACAGAAGAGGAAAGCGGAAUUCCAAGUGUAGCGGUGAAAUGCGUAGAGAUUUGGAGGAACACCAGUGGCGAAGGCGGCUCUCUGGUCUGUAACUGACGCUGAGGCGCGAAAGCGUGGGGAGCAAACAGGGAUUAGAUACCCUGGUAGUCCACGCCGUAAACGAUGAGUGCUAAGUGUUAGGGGGUUUCCGCCCCCUUAGUGCUGCAGCUAACGCAUUAAGCACUCCGCCUGGGGAUACGGCCGCAAGGCUG
rnacentral:rRNA from 1 species